AUGCCCCGGAUUCCCUCUCCUGGCGCCUUGAGCCGUUUCUCCACGAAGUCCUUGUAUGUUGCCAUUGCUCCCUCGACGGUCCCGGAGCCCUUUAGCCUGAUCUGGGACAUCCGCCUGCCUCUGAAGAUCAAGAUUUUCCUGUGGCAAUGGAUCCGUGGACGCUUCCCCUCUAGGGUUGAAGUCCUCAAGUGUAAUGGUCCAGGCGAUGGGAUGUGCCCCAUUUGUGGCAUGGUGGAAGAUGCUAACCACAUCUUUUUCUCGUGCUCCACUGCCCAGUUCCUGUGGGCUUGCUUCCGCGAGAUCGUCGGUGGACAGUGGUGCAACACCAACUUCCCCGACUUACUUGUGGAGCUCAAUGCCUCCCCCUCGCUACCGCCAUAUUAG
rnacentral:rRNA from 1 species